GAUCACACGUACAAAACUCUGAUACCCUCUACUCAUCGACGACGAUGCAAAGUUCCAUUAUCUUCUCCAUCUUUGUCCUAUUGAUAUUCUCACUGGGAAUCGAUGCAGGUAGCGAUGCCAGAUGCUGGGCUGUAAAUGGAAGAUGUCAAUACACAAGUGAGGCUUGUGAUGGGUAUGCAACUGGAAUGUGUGCUGGCCCCUACAAUAGACAAUGCUGUGUUAAAGGAGCCGACAGAAAAUGCACAGAGAGAUAUCUAACUGGAGCGUGUCAGGAUACCAACAAAGCCUGCUGGAUGGGUUAUGUUAGCAACUUAUGUGGUGGUGGGAAUAACCGUAAAUGCUGCAAAGGCUUUGGAAUUUAAGUAUUAAUUCGACAACAGAGAUAGGAUUAGUCGCAGAUACGUUCAUGUGUAAUGGCAAUAAAUAAAAGUUUGUGAGAUCUAAAACUUUUUCAUCUAACGUUUUUAU